ensembl:lncRNA
CACCUUUGUGACUUUCAGACUGUUUAACUGUAAAGGACACCGGAGCACUUAAAGACGUUACACUGGCCUGAAACCAUUGAAUAUCCUACAACAGCUUGAUAAAAACAUAAAAAAUAACAAAGAAAAACCUUCAACUGUUAAAACCUUGUAAUACUGAAAUCAUAAAAAAAAAAAGUCCUGUCCCUGCUGCAGUUUCAAGGGCUCAUUGACAGACAGUGACACGAACAGAGGCCACUCUCGCAAAGGGCUGAGACAGAAAGAAGGAACUUACGUCACGAGCAACACCGUCUGGGAUCGUUCUGUGAGUCGAGCGUUCAUUCACCCUCUGUACUUGACACGGUGGAUGCCUCAAGUUCUGUCCUGCCCUGUGCACAAAGACAAAGUUGUACAUAAAUAACAGUGGGGUCGUUUGCGCAGUUUAGCAGCUUCUGAAAAAUAUACAAGGCAUGUUUGGUGAAGCAGGAGUUGAAAAGAGUUGGGAACAGUAAAAAAGGAUGAAAAACAAAUGAGGGCAUGGCAAAGGCCUUUGCAGCUGCAUCGUGCCAUUCAGUCCACACACAAAAAACACGUUUUGUGCACUAUUUUCAAAAAAGUUUAGAUACGCAGAGCACGAGAAUAUGUUUCACUCAGUUUGGAGUCUAAAGCGACGCACACGGACGUCACGAAACGCUUCAUUACAUGCGUUUAGACAGUACAAAACGUCACAUAGGUCAGUAAAAAAAAUCUAGCCAGUAAACUUUAAAGUUUAACAGUAAUUGCUGGCUAAAUGUAUUAGUUUAGAAAAGUUUCUUGCACUUUUUCGACCACUUGGAAUUCAACCCCUCAUGCAGAAAACUCGGAAAUCUCGUGAAAUCGAGUAGAAAAGAUAGAAACUAUUGGACAGAAAUUAAAAUGCUGUUUUAGCAGACUAAAGAAAACACUUUCAUGAUGGCACGUGCUCGGCGGAGCUUCCUCCUGAUGCUUGUUUAUACAAUAUUAUAGGCUAAUAGUUCUAACCCAAUUUAAUCAUGGAUUCUUGCAGUGAAAUAUAAUAUAAUGAUUUAAAUGUAUUAGGGCACUAAAAUCCGCGUUAAUAUACUUUUCAUCUGAACACCUAUAAAUCAGCCUUCAGGCUCCGCUCGCCUCUUUUGAGUGAGCGUCAAAUGAAUCACUUGAAUUAAAAAAAAAAACGUGUUCAAACUCAAAACGAACACUUGCAUUAUUGCAUUUAACCGUUUAGCUAUCAGCAAAAAAUGAUUUUUAAUUUAAAGAUAUUGUAAAGUUUGACCAUAGCGUCGAACUAAUUUUCUUUAAGUAUGAGCAACUUUUUCAGGCCUUUACGCUUAUCGGGAGGAAAAAAUAGGCUAUGAUAUGCAAAACUCCAUAAAGUUAGUUUUCUUAUAGUUUUUAACCAAUUUCAAGAGGACCUCUUCUCUACGUCAUUUUUAAUUGCUCUAAUUUCAUAACCAUAUAAUCAAAGCAUCUUUGUUAUAAUGCAAUAAUGUGAGGGAACACAUACGGUUGAGACGAAAUUAAUGUUAGUCUGACCUGAAGGAAUUUAGGGUUGUCGUCACUAAGGGACUCUGGAGCCUUUUCCAAAUACUGUAGCCUAUAAUGGGGCAUUUGUGUUUGCUCUUCCGUUCGCAUAUAGGACAGGGGACAGGUGAGUGUCACCGAAAACGGGAAAUGACUUGAUGAGGUACUUGGGGGACCUGACUUCAAAAUUGUGGUGACUUGGAUCACGUCACUUCUCAGUUGCUGAGAAUUUCUCAAUGGAACUGUAUCUGCAUGGCAUAAAAUCUUUAUCACAAUGUGUCUACAUGUUAUAUCCUGGGUGUGCGUAGGUGUGUCAUAUUUCAUCGAGGGUGUGUGUAAAAAGAAGGAAAGAAUAGAAAUAAAAGAAAAUAAACCGAUGAAGUUGGGUGAAACCUUGUUGUCUUUGGGCACAUACGGUGACGUGUUCUCUUACACACACACACACACACACACACACACACACACACACACACUGGCACUCUGUCAAUGGGCUGAUAUUUUAAUUUCAAACCCGUGUAGAACUAUAACUGCGUCCGCCAGGGUUAUACAGCUUAUAUGUUAUUGCGAACAGGGUGGGGUCAUUUCAACAUUGUUUGACUUCUAAGUGAAUGGCACACUAACGAGAUGACCCCCUCUCUCUCUUCCCCGAAUGGACCAGUGUGUUUUCCCACGUGCAAACUGGGACGCUCGUUGGUGGAACUGUGGUUUUGUUUGGGUGACUUCUUGUAAUCGUAUUAACUAUUCUGGCAAUGGAGACGCCAGAUAACUCUCGACAGAGAGGGAUCUUAGACUUUGGGGACGUAAGUGGGAGAGAAGUUCGGCUUUACAUUUGAACCGCAAUACAGUUAUAACAUUUGUAGUAUUUGUAGAAUAUAAAUACAGUAAUAAUAAUAAUAAUAAUAAUAAUAAUAAUAAUAAUAAUAAUAAUAAU